rnacentral:lncRNA from 1 species
GCAGAAUUUGAAAUAAAAGUAGAUGGACCGCUCUUUAAAAAUGCCAGAUGUAAUUCACCACCAUCUCCAGUUAAUUCAAGGUUAUCAGACACACAUUGAAGUGGAAGAUGAAUGGAAUCCUCCUGCUUUCUAUGAGAAACAAGUAGCCACAUACAUAGCUGUUGAUGUUUUGGGUAAAAAAUGGUGGUAUUGACAAUGGAAAAAUUUACAUGAAGCAAAGGUCUUUGCCUGCUUAAGAACAAUGUGCUGUUGAAUAAGGG